AGUGAACGCUGGCGGUAGGCCUAACACAUGCAAGUCGAACGGCAGCACAGUAAGAGCUUGCUCUUACGGGUGGCGAGUGGCGGACGGGUGAGGAAUACAUCGGAAUCUACUUUUUCGUGGGGGAUAACGUAGGGAAACUUACGCUAAUACCGCAUACGACCUACGGGUGAAAGCAGGGGAUCUUCAGACCUUGCGCGAUUGAAUGAGCCGAUGUCGGAUUAGCUAGUUGGCGGGGUAAAGGCCCACCAAGGCGACGAUCCGUAGCUGGUCUGAGAGGACGAUCAGCCACACUGGAACUGAGACACGGUCCAGACUCCUACGGGAGGCAGCAGUGGGGAAUAUUGGACAAUGGGCGCAAGCCUGAUCCAGCCAUACCGCGUGGGUGAAGAAGGCCUUCGGGUUGUAAAGCCCUUUUGUUGGGAAAGAAAAGCAGCAGGUUAAUACCCCGCUGUUCUGACGGUACCCAAAGAAUAAGCACCGGCUAACUUCGUG
rnacentral:rRNA from 1 species